rnacentral:tRNA from 2 species
AGUAUCACGCCGGAAGAACGGACUACCCUGAUGAGGUAGAACAUAGGCCUAUGCCUUGAUACUU